ensembl:lncRNA LINC02684 long intergenic non-protein coding RNA 2684
CCCUACGCCACCUCCUGGCAGCUAAGGACACUGCAGGGCCCUCUUGCUCCCGGUGUGACGGCUGGCGUCCCCUACUGGCCACCUCCCGAACAAACUCGGGGCGCCAGUUAUUAAGCCCCAUCAGUUCUGUAAAUUCAAACUGAAACGGAGCUAUUACUGGGGAGACCUGAUGUCCCAAUUCUUAACUUGGAGGAAAGAUUUUCACUUUCCUCCAAGAAACACUCUCUAAGAACACAGCACUCAGAAAAGCCAGCCUGAUACCUAGAUUACACGGUUCACAGCCUUACAGUAAGAAGAAACUAAGUCUUAGCGAUAACCAAGUGGCAGACGUGGCAGAAGAAAAAUUUGAAACCAGGGCCACAUUGAGCCUGCAGGCAUGUCUGGCCUGUUCUGAGGACAGACAUUUCAAGCACAGAGAGGCACAGGAGCACUGUUUGAGCCUGGAGCUUAAAUCGCGAAUCCAGAGAGCCCUCUCUGAGCAUGCGUUGUGCCCAGAGUUGGUUUCAUGUGGAUCAACUCAGGCUUCUAUGGCAGGGCCACAGACAGGGUCCACAGAAGUGGUUUCUGCCAAUCUUUGAAGAGUCCUGAUCUUAUAUAAUCAAAGAAGCUUCAAGUCUGGAAGAGAGAGGCAAAAGGUGAGAGUCAGGAGAAUCUGAAGAUGCUACACUGCUGGCUUUGAAGAUGAGGAUGGGUCAUGAGCCUAAUAAAAAAGGU